rnacentral:rRNA from 1 species
UACAGAGGGGCAAGCGUUGUUCGGAAUUACUGGGCGUAAAGGGCGCGUAGGCGGCCUGUUAAGUCGAACGUGAAAUCCCCGGGCUCAACCCGGGAACUGCGUCCGAUACUGGCAGGCUUGAAUCCGGGAGAGGGAUGCGGAAUUCCAGGUGUAGCGGUGAAAUGCGUAGAUAUCUGGAGGAACACCGGUGGCGAAGGCGGCAUCCUGGACCGGCAUUGACGCUGACGGCGCGGAAAGCCAGGGGAGCAAACGGGG